rnacentral:rRNA from 1 species
GGUUUAGUUUAAAAGAUGGUCUUGCUAUCACUAAGAGAUGGUCCCGCGGUGUAAUUAGUUAGUUGGUGAGGUAAUGGCUCACCAAGACAAUGAUACAUAGCCGAGUUGAGAGACUGACCGGCCACAAUGGGACUGAGACACGGCCCAUACUCCUACGGGAGGCAGCAGUAGGGAAUCUUCCACAAUGGACGAAAGUCUGAUGGAGCAACGCCGCGUGUGUGAUGAAAGGGUUUCGGCUCGUAAAACACUGUUGUAAGAGAAGAAUGACAUUGAGAGUAACUGUUCAAUGUGUGACGGUAUCUUACCAGAAAGGAACGGCUAAAUACGUG